rnacentral:misc_RNA from 1 species
GAUGAAGAACGUAGUGAAAUGCGAUAAGUAAUGUGAAUUGCAGAACUCAGUGAAUCAUCGAAUCUUUGAACGCACAUUGCGCCCCCUGGCCUUCCGGGGGGCAUGCCUGUCCGAGCGUCAUUGCUGCCCUCAAGCACGGCUUGUGUGUUGGGCCUCCGUCCUCCUCCCGGGGGACGGGCCCGAAAGGCAGCGGCGGCACCGCGUCCGGUCCUCGAGCGUAUGGGGCUUCGUCACCCGCUCUUGUAGGCCCGGCCGGCGCUUGCCGACACAUCAAUCUUUUUUCCAGGUUGACCUCGGAUCAGGUAGGGAUACCCGCUGAACUUAAGCAUAUCAAUAAGCGGAGGA